CCGCGCUCGCAGCCCCAUUUCGCGGAGGGGGGAAGCGAGAUGGAGGCGCUCCGGGACCUCUCUCUGCACUUGACGUGAGGCUGCGGCGGGUCCGCCUCAGCCCCGGCGCCGGGCUUCCCUCUGCGGGAGGGAGCGAGAGAGCAGCGGGGGCCGCGCACCGCCGCUCCCCAGGCCCGCGCUCUCUCUCGUCGCCUUCUCGCUCGUCGCCUUUUUCUUUUUUUCCCCUAACCGACCGACACGGAGAGCUCCGAGCUGCCGGGCUCGCUCAGACCGUCAUGGCUACGAGAAGUGCGCUGCCGGUCAGAAACACGCGAUCCCGGGGCUGCCGGCUGAGCGCCGAGCGGUGCGUGAGGCACCGCACGCUGAUACCGCGCCCGUUCGCGGCUGCUCGCGCCGAGGCUCCGAGGCUCGGGAUCACUCGAGAGCCAACUCUUUUUUUUUUCUUUCUUUUUUUUUUUUUUUUCAAAGCAAGUUCUUAGCAAAAAAAAAAAAAAAAAAAGGAAUCGGUCGUUCCUCACAUCUUGUUUUCUUUUCCUUUUUUUUUUUUUCCUUUUUUUUUUUUUUUUUUUUGAAAGGGAGAAAAUAGAACUGAUUGGCCGUAUAUUUACACUUUCAGGCUUAGCUGAUUAAAACUGCCCUGAGUGAAGUUUUCAAUGAGCAUCGAAAGGAAUGGCAGCCAACGGCUUGGAGGUUUUCUUUUCUUUUUUUUUUUCUUUUUUUUUUUUUUUCUUUUUGCCCACGAAAGCAGCAUUUUGUGGUAGAAAUAGCAAUGAGAGCACUGAAAAAAAUACAUAAAAAAUACAGCGUUGCCGAUACCACUCGUCUGUAUUUAGAUUACGUAUCGUUCUGCCCUAAAGCAACUCUAGUUGCUAUUUUUCACCCAUUUUUUUUUCCCAACUAUGAUGCAGAAAUAAGACCUAGCAGAUAGGAUGUCAGCCUCUUUGCCAGGAUGUGGUAUUCUCUUAUACGAAUCACACUGUUGUCCUCUCGAAUGGCAUUUCUGAGGUCUCAUUAAGGAUUUCUAAAGGCAGUGAAGUUUCUGCACCGCCGCUAUCCCAUCCGUGCUCGCAGACACACACAGGCCCAAUCCUGCGUGUGGUUCUGUGCUUCGUUAUGGCCCUGUUCAGACCGAAGCUGGAAGUCGUAUUACACAAUCACUGCUCUCAGUAUUACUUAGGGCUGCACGAAGCGUAAACCCAAUGCAAUAGUCUCGGUUUGCAUCACCCACUUCGUAUCGCUGGGGUUUAAGCUAAAUAAUGCACAAUUGCCAUAAUUUUAGGAUCAGGGUGGUUAAAUAUUUGACGGCGAGGAAGGGCAGCCGCUCUCGUCUAACAGCCCCUGCAAUAGGAGGUGGGUAUUGCACUCUCUGGCUGCAGCAUCUGGGAGAGGAUUGUCAGCUUGUUUCCUCAGUGACUGGCAAAGCCAAGGAGUCACAGCAGGAGCACAGCUGAGGACAGAAGGCAGGGGAGAGGGAUUUUGAGCCUCAACAAAAGCGAUGUCAGUUCUUUAGAUCAGAUUUCCGUUCCAGAUAACGUGGGCUCAUCAGAACGGUGGAAGUCCUAUCUGCUGUGGCAGCUAAGAGAGGGUAGAGCUGCAGUUUCUGUGCUGCACUCCUUUCCUUGCACCUUUCCUCGCUGAAGCACUACCUGCACGCCGCCAAUCCCCCCACUGUAGGCACUUCUCCUCACAGGGUGUCAUUACGUUCUCAGAGAAUCUUCCACUGCUGUAACAUGUGACAUGGCCAGCAUUUGUCAUGUUAUCUGCUCUCCUGUUGCCAGGGGGAGGAGCAUGUGCAGUUGAAUGUUUUGAGUUUUAUCUGCCUUUUUUGUUUUUUUUUUUUUUUCUUUUUCUUCAAUAUAUGUGUUGUGUGUUUACAGUAGUGAGGCAAGGUCAAAGUCAUGUAUUUUGUUCUCCAAGCACUACGUGGUUGGUUGGGCUCCUGAUGGCCCUUAGCUCCUGGGCGUAUUCAUCCCAUAGACUUGCUCCAGCCCCUGAGAAAAGUGUAUCUGUAGAAAUGUUAGCUUUUUUCCCCUACUUGUGUAAAUUCUCUUGUGUCAGGUGAGAGAAACUGCCGACACGAGGCUGUAGUCUGGAGACCCAGGCAUUUCUUUGGGAAACCUGGAUUUAGGCCCCGGGAGGAUCUGGAGACCCCAAAUCUGUCAUUUAAAGUUCUAUAGAAAAUCAGUAUUAAGUGGAAGAGAGGGACUCAUAUUCACCUACCCCACUGAGAUGACAUUCCCCCCGGCUUCCUAUACUUGGGAGUUCCCUAUAUGGAUCAAGAAUCACACUUGGGUAUCCCAAACGGCCGGGGUCUGUCUGCAAGGUGGCACAACCAAAGCAAGGUACUGAUCUCCCAGAAUGGCCCAGGAGCUCCCAGCUCGUCAGGGAUGGUUAGAAAGCUGGAGGCUGUCUUUUGACUCAGGCACGCAUUACUUUGCAAAUUACCUUGCUAUGUGUUUUUAAGAUUUAUUUUACAACCGUGAGGAUUAGAGGAAUUUGUCGUAAUGAAAACUGGCAUUGUGUCACUACUGUGUAACUGUGUAGCUGGAUUCUUUGGUCUGCCUGGGUACUUGCAUAUUAUUCCACUCUCUACUGGUCCAGCUCCUAAGUGAGUUACACCAAAUGGAGGCCAACAAGGUAUACCCAACGUGGAGCAAUUAUAAUAACGUGCACAUCUACAUAUUAUUUGGGUUCCCUGUUUUGGUAUGGCAUAUGUGUGCAUGGCCAGUGGAAAUUCCAACUUUUUUUUUUUUUUUUGUAUUUAUUUUUCUAAUUUAAGCCCUGCCUUGCUUUUGGUGCUUAUCCAGCCUUCUUUGCUGGAUCCCCGUUAGAGAUUCACCAAGGCCUCUCCUCAGACCUCUUCUGAAAGUUUGCUAUCAGUUGAAGUUUCUGCUUAAUAAUCUACUCUAAUAAUCAAGUGUAUUCAACAUCUCCUUUCAUUUUUGACUUUUCUGCUUCUUUCUGUGGCCAUUAAGUCUCCAAUUUAUCCUGACAAACAUAGGAUUUGGAAUUCAUUACUUAGGCCAUUUCAGGUUGUCACGUAGCAAGGACUGAAGUGCGCCGUUUAUUACUGUACAGUCAUUAGACUGCAGUGGCAGUGAAAACUAAGUUCUGAAUUUGCCAGCUGAGAGCUGAUCUAGGGAUCCUUCUCUUGGCACCAAGGACUGCAGGAAGUAUUUGCUAGAUUAGGAUGUACACCUGCUUUAUUAAAUUCCCUACAAAAUACUAAGUGGAAAAAAAAAACCCAAACCACCCAUAAACAACCUUUAGCAUAUUUUUGGUGUAGACUACCUGGUUUUUCAACAGCCAACUUUCAAUCUAUUUUUUUUUUCCCCCCAAUAUCUAAGAUGUUUAACACAGCAUAAAGGCAGCUGGUACAAUCCAAAGGCUGGGCUUAACUACGCUUUCCUUCAGUAUUGACUCUAAUACAGCCAUAGGCCUGACCCAUCAUGAACAUAUCCCUGAGGCCUCGGGAAAUACUUGCUAUUAAACUAAGGUUCUGUGGUGAAGUUUUGCUAAAACGGCCUCGCUGUAACUUCUAAACAUUGUAAAAAUUCUUCUGCAUGUUAGUGGUUGUGAAAUGUGCUGGUUCGUUAUCUGUGAAAACUGAAGCCCAUUCUUUAUGGAUUAAUUACAGCAGAGCAGUUGCCAAGUGAUCUUCUCCACAGCACCCACGAACUUUGGCCUUACACUGAAGAGGACUCGUCAAAUGCUUUGGGAGAUACAACACAGAAUUGGAAGAGAAGCAUGGAUCUACCUGAAGGGCAGUUCGCUGCAUUCUUGGUGUGUGGAGGAACGGGUCCCGUGCUCACUGUUGUUACUCCCACAUAGGCGGACUCUGUAACUGAUUAUAUGUGGGUAGGGCCCUAUUGAAAUUAAGGAGAUUCUGCAGUAGUGCGGGGUUCUGUUUGUGUGACCCUACUGUGCCUUCUUACUGUGAAUUCUGUCAGUGUAUCAUGGGUUGUGCUGGAACCUGCCUUUUGGGAUAAUGUAAGUUCUGCCUUUCCCCCAAAUGUACUUUAGACGUGAAAUAAUCAUUAAAAAAAAAGUUUUGAAUUAGAAAAUAAAUAUAAUUUACAUGCGUUCUUUUAAUUAUGUUUUUUUGGCAGUACCAAAUAAUAUAUUCCUCAAAACUUCUUAAUGGCACUGAGGCUUUGUGGAUAGUUGGUCACAUGAUGAGAAAAUUCAGCUGUAAGUACACUGAAAUGAUUGAAUUUUUCAAUAGUUAGUCUUUGCUGAUGUUGACAGACUAAUAAUGAUAAAAGGGUUAAUCAAGAGGUGUGAUUUAUGUGUGACUCCGGUUCUUUUUAGAAAAUCCAUACAAUAUAUCCAUUAAGGAUAUCAUUAUUCUUGGAUAAUUCACCACGUGAACCUGGAGUCCUUCAGCACUGCUGUUAGAUCAUGGACAAGGAUAAAAGUUCACCUAUUUGUGCAAGCAGCGCUGGCACCCUGACUGCACUAUGUGACCCUCCACAUAGGAGGCUGUGUGCCUUCAUUCCAGCACCAGCAAUGCACUUUACCCUUGACUUCCAGCUCCAGCACGUGCUCCUCAGGUAUGUAUAGCUUUGUUGUUAUUACGGGGAAAUAUACUGCAUUCAAAACACAUGUAGUUUCUUUUAAGUCAUAAAUAGAUAACUAGAGUGUAUUACUUUACAGAGUAUCUGAAACAGUCUGAUUCCUAAGCAAAACCAGAACUUUGAUGAUCGAUUUUACUUUCUGUGGUUAGCAGCCUAUUCUUGCUGUGAUAAGUGAAGUCUGAUAGUAAUAAAAAUGAAACCUAGUAUCUGUGCUGUCAUAAUGGAACCCCAAAGUGAAAUUAGUUAGUGAUAUUAGAAAGCAUCGCUUGUAGUUUUGCUCCAAACCUCAAUUUAUUUUAUCGUCCUGUACUCAAAAACAACAUUAAAGAACAUGUAUGGAUCACGUUACUGACAUUCAUGGCCUCGAUCAUAAAGUGAAUCAUUCACAUAUAUGCUUUUGGUAGAACAUAAAAUACGUGAUGCAGAAGAGCAAGGAUACUGGAGGGAUGAGGAUCAUUUGCCUGUUCAGAAUCCUGACAGACACGUCUGUUCUUUCUAAGAAACUCAAUCUGAAGGAAAAUGAGAAAAGCCUUUAAUUAUAUUUAUUACCGUGAUAAACAGUAAAAACGCAGAUCUGUUCGCUGCUUGACAAUGUCUGUGUUCAUCUCUAACAAUAGUUAAAGUCUUCAAAUUGAAGUGCUCAUUUUGCAGCGAUAGUUCUUGUAUUUGGUCUGUGGCAGCAAAGACUGUGAAUAUGUGAAAAUGGGUAUUUUUUGUACCUUCAUUCAAACGGUGUGAGAAACUUCUCAAUUAUUAGUAACAGCUGUAUUAAAAACGUGAAUAGCAGACAGAGACUCAAAUGAUUUCUGCUUAGUUAACCUCCCAAAGAGGAAGGCUUAAGUAAGAAAGUAAGAGAAGAAGCAACCUUUCACUUUGUAGACCUGUCUUGUUAUCCUGCUCUAGAACCAGGGAGCUCCAGUGUAACAUUCCUCUUUUGCAUGGCACGUGAGUCAUCUAGACUGGACCAGGACUUGGUUUAAGGAGUUUCUGAAGUAGGAGACAUCUACUUAAGUUAUUUGAGAACCGACUUAGAAGAAGACCACUAUAGUCUCAAAGCCUUUAGAACACAAAGCAGUCCAGACAAAGAUUGUUGUCAAUUUGAUGUAUGUAAUUUUAGGAGUCUUAUUUACCAACAGUAACUGACUGCAUUAUAAGUUUGUUUGCAACGGGCAAAGUAUGCCCUAUGUUAGAAUUGCCACAGCGCUCUGGAACAAGAAUAUAAACUACAUACUAUUGCUCCUUUAUAUUAAUAUAGUUUAGAAGAAAACCAGUUUUCUUCAGAGAAGCUAUGGGAAAAACAUGUCUAGCAAAUACCUUCAGAAUGUUUAAUUCACACUUCUUAGUUUUUCUCAUGAAAACUAAAGUAGUAGCUUAUGAUCCAAGAUGUUUCAUGAAGAGAGAAUGAUGUGAGCUGUGAAUGAUGAAUCGAACAAAUUGAGAAAAAUGAGAAACUACUAAGGCUUCUUUUACUUCAAAUCAAAAUCUAAGUUUGUCCACUUCUCAGAGCUUGCUUUCCAACGUGUGCAUAAAGUCUCUAAUUUUAGUAAUCAAAUACUCACAUUUGUAGUUUGAAGUUAUAAAAUAUUAACUAUAUUUUCAACAUUCCCAUUUAAUAUUUUAUCAACCAGUUAGCAUUAUUUUUUCAGACUAAAGAAAAUAUUUCGUUAACCAGAGGCUAUUUAUUAGGAAGACAAAUGUAGUUUCUCUGCGUGUCUUCAGAGGCCCAAUGUGGCCAUUAAGAAAACCAAUGCCCAGCAAGGUGUCUGUAAUCUACUUCGGAUAAUAUGAUACUCAGGAAAAAAAAACCCUACAGCUCAUAGUAUAGAAUGCUCUAACUGCUAUUUCAAAGGUGCCAAUGAAUGUUGUCACGUAACAACUUUGAAAAUAUUCCUUAUGGAUUAAAUAAGGAUAUUUAGAAGCAGUAAGAAUUACUAAGGGGCAGCUGAGAAGGAAAAGAAUAUACGCUGUUUGAUUGAGUGAGGUAAACAACCAUUCACAGUUAAACUGGAAUGAUGUGAUAGAGAACAGAAGAUUUUUUUAAUCGAAGAUGGGCUGACUGAUACAAGGAGAGUAUACCAAGAGAUUGGUGAGGUGCUGGAACAGGCCUCCGUCCCUGGAGGUGCUCAGGGUCAAACUGGAUGGGGCCCUGUGCAGUCUGGUCUAGCAUUAGAUAUGGAGGUUGGUGGCCUUGCGAGCAGCAGAGGGUUGGAGCUUCAUGAUCCUUGAGGUCCCUUCCAACCCAAGCCGUUCUACGAUUCUGUAUUUCUACAGAGAACGUAUAAUUGGAAGGUGGGAUAGAAUUGGGAAAACAUGGUGUGCAGUUGGUUUGAGUAAUUCUGUCUUAACAGAUUCGGUAUUAUUUUAAAGACAUGGUAAUCCACUUACUUAGCAUAAUCAAAAUUAGACUGAACAAAGUGCUAGAAACUGUACUUCAGAAAGACAGUCCUGUGGCCAAUUUUGAGGAAUAAGUUAAGAGAAGGUCAGAAUUAAGAAAACAUUUUCUCUGGAGUAUUAGAGUUUGUACGUACUUCUGGGCUCUCCCUACUUAUAUUGUGAUACACAGGAACAGUAAUAAAAAGAAGGAUGCUUUCUUGAUGUAGUUUGCAUGCAUGUUAACUUAUGCAGCCUAGCUUUCCAUCUAAGUUGGCCAAAGCACAGAGAAUAACUUUAAUUGCCCAGUUUUUAUGAAGCAUGUGAAUAACUCAGCUAGGGUGCUUUUGGCUUCUUGAGAUCUUGAGUAGAUAGAGUUCAUUGCUGGUGUGUAUGCACCCUGUGAGUACAAGGACAAUUUGGACGAGCAGAGUCUAAUUACUAGACGGUAUCAGUGGAUGACUUGAAGCACCCUCAUGCUCUCUGUCCUUGGGGCAUUAAACAGUGCUGUGAGUACAAACAUUCAUGAUUUCAUUAUUUCCAUCAUACCACAAAGGUGGAAAUAGUGCAAUGUAAGUACUCUGUGAUUCAUUUAACUUUUAUGUGUAAUACUGUAAUUAAUUUCAUGCAAUAAAUUAGGUCUCCUACUGUCUAUUAAGAAAUAUGGCUUGAAUUAAUAUACCACACGUCUCCUUCUAUAGGGAUAAGAGAGUCAUGAGUUACUGGGGUUUAAUAUUUUCCCUAGCAUGAUUCUUCAGAUCCUAUUUAUGACACGAGGAAACAGACAGUAAGGGAAGGAGGGAGGGGAUUUCCCUAGGGGGAAAAAAGAAAUUAAAGAUCAGUUUAUUUCUAAAUUCCAUGAAUAAAGCUACAGUUAUGCUUUAAGGCAGUGUCUCAUAUUAAGUGUCCUAAAAGCUGUGAUUCUGGGCUUCUAGGCCACACUCAUGCCCACAGCUCACCUACAGGCAAGUCGGCUGGAGGACUGCGGUUCCAAGCACAAGCACAUGCACAUAGCAAGGGAUGAAAGAGUAAUCAGCAAUAUGGUAGCUCUUUGAUUUAUGUAUUUUGAAGUCCAGGGCCUGAAAAGAACUAUUUUAUUUUCUUGAUGCUCCCUGCAGGGACCUUGAUAGUGACUGGCUUUGUGUUGAGCGCCUUAUGUAUUUAGAGCCCUGAUAGCAGCGAUCGCCUCUGUAGUGUCUGUGCUGUCCAUAGAGCUGUGUGACUUGCUCUUCCCUUGUGCCUCCUCUAUCCCUUAUUCCCUAAAAAGCUAUCCAGCCAGUCAGAAACAACAAACACCAGAAACAGAUUCCCUUUUACAACAGAUUGCAGGAGCAAAUGUGCCGCCACGGAUUGCUAACAGAAGCUGCUGUACCUACCACUUUCCUUACAGAAGAGGCGAGUGGCUAGCCCUGUGCUGUGAGCCAUCAGUACUGUGACACUUCCGUUUGCUAUUUCAAAUUUGGAUUGGAGUUGGAUCCAUAAUUUCCUCACCAAUCCCUAAUCCUCGAGAUCAACCUGCAAAGUGCCUUAAAUACAGGGGCCCACACAACAGAUUCCUAAUGGGAACACUGGACUGUUCUACAGAGAGCAACCCUUCACAAAUCCUCCUCAUGAAUCAUAUUUGUUUUGUUUUGGUGUUCUUCCUGCCUCAUUCCAAAAAGCAACUGUCUCAGAAGAUAACAAACUGAAGUGUAGUGCCACAACAGGUGACUGACUCAGGUCACACAGGUCAAAAACCGUAGAGUCAAUGGUUCUAGACCUAAAAAAACAGCAAUUCUGAUUUGCAACACUUCGUUAUGGGGUUGCUGAACAGCAACAAGUCAGUUAAAUUCUCUUCCAAGCAUCUGUUAAGCUCACUGAAAGCAUCUUAGCGUUUACAGUCUUUCACUAGACAUACUGUAAUUUGUCUACAUUCUGCACAAAGUUGACCUGUUGCUGCUCAGCACCAAAUCAAAUGGUGUGGCACAUGAAGAAGUCCUCUACUCAUGAAACUUAGGGCAAACCAAUCACGGGUCCUCAGUAUGGUGUCAUCUUCCUACUGGAUAUGCUUGCGGGCUGGAUGAUAGGCCUGUUCUGGGACGGAGAUUUGCUCACAUUGGAAGUCUCUGUGAUGCUCAGGAGAUGUUCUCUGUGUAUCUCUGAGCCAGGACCCACUACCUCGAACCAGAAGUACACUAGGUUGUUUUUCAGAGGCUUACUGAACAAGUGCUGAUAGUCAAAGUGAUAACCAAUGAUAUGUUUAGUCAACGAGCCAGUGAGGGGUAAGACCAUCUUCAGUAACUUUCACCUGACUCACACCAGGGAACUUUUGGGGUUACUGUUAAGAGGCUCUGACCCUUCCUGACCUUCAGUCUGUCUAACCACCCUAAUGGGGAGCCAACAACAGUGACUGGUCUUCCAGAGGAACCAUUUUCAAAUGGGAAAUCCUAAAUGGGCACUCAUUCAUGGCAAGAGUAGGUGCCCCAUUCUACCAGGAGGGACACUGAGAGUUCCAGGAAAAAUGCCCUGCAGACCCGCCUAGGAACAGGAGUUGUGGAUGCCUUUUCCUUUUACCUUUCUUUGUGUUGUGUGAAACUUUCAGCACUGUCUCUGUACCUGCUUAGCCAAAAAUAUUCUUCUGAAGAAAUAAUCAGAUCCUGCAGCCAAACCCAGGAUGGCUGUAAGUGGGUCUGGGUGUUGCCCGCAUGAAAUUUACUGACAGAAACUGUUUCACAACAGUACAGAAUAUUUUGAUUUACACAGAAUACCUAUCACUGAAGUUACUCUUAAACCUAAAUUAGAAGACUUUCUGUCCAUGUAUCGUAGCAUCAGCAGCAUUUUCCCUAACCUCUGCUUUCAGUACUACUGUGCUGUGUAAGAGCUUUGACACUACCUGGAGUUCUACAGAAUACCUCCAUACUGGGACACAAUAUAUCUUACCUUGCAGUAAGGUUUCUGACUCUGUUUAUAUUUUUACCUAAGAGUGAAAACACGUCCCACCUAUCCUUCUUAGUAUUUUCUCACCAAUAGAAAAUGGACCUUUCUGUCUGCUUGAGAAAUAUUUCUGUGCCUUGUAAAACACGUAGCAAGGAAAAUGAGAAUAUAUUCCACGAAUCUCCUAUGGAAAUACUAGGAAAUUCUCACAAGCUUCCACUGUUUUAAUUAUUGUCAGCUCUGCCUGAUUAAGGUCUGCUGCCAAACUCCAGAAACAAAGUCUUGCUCCCUUAGAGAAAGGCUUGAACUACUUCAGGUUUUUACUUGAGCUCUCAGCUGAAGUUUGCACUGAUUCCUUGAGCUUUAAUUCUUAGCAAGCAAUAUUCUUAGAAUGGAGCUGAUUUCCGUGGAACAGCAGAUUUUCUUCUCUUUAUUUCCACUCCUUACUAUUCUUUUAGAUUCUGCUUGCAGAAAGGCCAGCAGGGCUUUAAGAGCGCAAUAUGCAUGACUGCAUCUUUUCCUCCAACGCAUCAUCCCUAACAGUGGGAAAGAGUGGCUCUCCCCAAGUGUGCUCGGCGGAGCUUCCAGUUCCCUGGGAUCUUGGAAGGCCUGCCAUACAAGAGCAGCUCCAGCAUCUGCCACAGAAAGCGGGCUGAGCAGUAGCUGAGAGCUAAGAAGAAAUAGGCUUCCAGCACAGAGACUACAGCCUCUACUUCAGAGACUUUAAUUGCCCCUCCGAUGCUUCUUCAAAAUAGCAACAAACAUUUUAAAAUGGCACAUGAAAAGGAUGAACAGGGAUCAACUUUCUGCCUUCACUAUCAAUACAGGAAUAAGGGUGCAUCAGAUGAAGCUGGCGGUAGGCAAGUUCAAAGCAAACAGUAUAAUAAAUUGUAUUAUUUUAUAUGUACGUGGGUAAUAUACUUGUGACAUUCUUUGCCUUAAGAUAGUACAGAUAGUACAGAUAGCUCACGUGGAUCUAAGGAGGGGCUGCAGAAGAACGUGGAGGAGGGAUGUGGUGAAGGUCACUGAGCAGACAGAUCGCAUCAAGCCAGGGACACACCCGAGCUAAACACUGGGUACUGGCACCCAUGGGCAAUGUCAAGUGUGCUGGUCCUGGUCCUGCUGCUCACUUGGCUAGGAACUGGCCUAUGCCUGUAGCCAGAGGUGGGUUAAUGGACAGCCCAACCUCUCUUCCAUUCUAAAAUACAGUUGAUUUAUGGACCUCUGCUAGCCCAGUCUUACAGUAAUGAAUCAAUACUUUCAGGACCAUUCCCUCCUAAAAUUCAACCAGCAAGAGCCAACCCAAGUCAACAAUUUUGUAAUACGUGUUAGUGAAACGCCUCUACCUUACCUCUUUUUCUCUGCUUAAUCUUGCCCUUGCCUAAACCAAAAUUGAUCUCUUUAGAAACUUGCUGUUACCACUGUAAUUUUGACCAGAGAUUUUUCUUCUUCCUUACGCUUGCCUUCAGAAUCUCUCUGCUAUAGAAAGGAAAUCUUUCAGCCUAUCAAAAACAAUAACAACAACAACAACAACAAAACACUAAAACCAACCAAACAAAAAAGAAAACAAAACACUAGAAAAUUCAUAAGAUAGCUUGGUUUCCAACACAGUGAUUCGGGAGCAGGAAUUACAUUCUGAUCCAUGUUAAGCAAAUCAGAUGAAUCCACAGAUCUGCAAUGCCAAUCUGUAAGGCACAGUUCAAAACUGAGGAGGUCAGGAUCCCAGCCUUUGGACCUUGUCAGUAAUAAUUUUCUUCCUUUCCACCUGAGAAGUGGUCCUGGUGCUAGGAUUACGCUCCAGAGUCACGCAGGAAGGAAAUUCAAUGGGAAGCCUCUAUCUUUAGCAGAGCUUAAUGCCAUCAUUGCUUACAUUCAGUUCCCUGGUUCGUUUAAACUCUCUCCAACUGCCAGUCUAUGGGCCUGGGUGAGUGCAGCUGGAACUCAAGGUAGGGGAACAGGAGGGGAUGGAGGACCUGGGGCCCUCUGUGGCAUCCUCCCACGCUCUGCCUCCUGGCGCUGGUAAACCUGCACUUGAACAGCCAGUGCUUCACCUCAAAAAAAAAAAAAAAAAAAGCAAAAAGCUUCUCCUGUUUGGCUUUACUUUUAACACCUCAGGUGUUGAGCAAAUUAAAGCAAACCUCUCUGCCAGGGCUCUGUCUCUUUAACUUCGUGUGUACACCAGCAGGCACAGUAGGAACCCGUUCUGUUCUGAGCACACCAUAGCACAAGUGGCUGAUAAAUCAGAAAGGAGGGAAUCCACACUUUCUAUUGCUUCUGUGGCCUACUGGAAUGAGGAAUGUAAGUUUAAUGAGUUAUAUACGUAUACUUUAUUUUAUUUAAAUGUUUCUUUCUUUUUUUUUUUUUUUUAAUAAGACCACUUAAAACUAAAUACGGAAGUAGGGCAGCCUGCAGUAAGGCUACAUUUACUGUAGGUAUUUUAAAAUAACACAAUAAAAGUGCUACGCGACACAUUUUUUUUGACGCCAGAUUUUUAGAGCAAGUCAAACCACUGAAGGGCUGGGAGUCACUGCCGGAGCUCCUGGAACUACAACCCGCUGAACGCUGAAGCUCUUUUAAUAUACUCAUUUAUGUUCAAAAUGGAAAGCGCCACGGAGAGAUGAAAAAGCAGGCAAUCUCUUAUUUUGCUUUCUCAUCGAGCCCAUGAGUGAAGACUGCGAGAGGAUGAGACGUACCAGCUCUGAAGUCUUGAAGGUCGUGCUGACCAGAAACAAUCACAGCAGCUCACCAGCUAGCAGUGAUUAGUCCUGGCUGAAUAAAUCAGCUCGCAGUGCACCGUGUUCUGAUAAGUGUAUUCUUCUGCUUACACGUUAUGUACAUCUAUGGUUAUUUAAUUAAACUGAUAGAAAAUGAAGUGCCCUUUUGCUACAUUUUAAUUGAAUUCCGCUUUCCGUCUACAUGGAGUUCACAAAUCGGAACUGGAAGGCUUAAUCACGUAGUAAAGAAAACCCAUUAUGUUUUCUAUUGUAAAACAUAACAAUUAAGAGUCAGAGGUUUGCUUUACAGGAGAUUAAGUAAAAACUGUAUGGCUAGGGAAUAACAAGCCAGCUAACAAAAAGAAUCGUGUUUUGUGAGUGGCUAUAUUUAAUUGAAAAAGGGCCUCGAACACUGAAAUAAAAUAAUGCAAAUAUAAAACCAUACCAAAAUAGGUGGAAUAAGGUAGGGUCCUUCUCUUUUCUGUUUGGAGGGGUAGUUGAUAAGGAUCAUUUAACUCAGGGGCGCAAAGCGAUGCACCCAGGCAGCUGCUGCUCCUACUGGGGCAGCAGCACCCAUUGCCUCUGCCCCUGCCUCCAGGGUGCUGCAGCACUUACAGAGAGUAAAUGGAGGUGCUGGGACCUGGCCAGGGAGAAGGUAGAAGGUGACCUAAGGUUAGAUGACCCUGACAGUCAAGUGUGCUGCCUUGACAAAGCGCAGUGGCUUGACAAUUGCUCGAGGCUUGCAAAACAUUGCGUUAUCGUGUUCGUGCUGUAUCCACUGAUAGAGAUUGUUUUCCUUGUACGUGCUGGGUAUUUCUAACUCCGCCGAACCUACUGAUGUGUGAAAACAGAGAUAAGUUCCAACUGGAGGCCUCCAGCCUGAAAGUCUGAAACUUGGAGCGUCUGCGUUGUCUGAGUUAUUCCUUUGGGCCUGCGGCCUCUGUCUUUAAGUGAAGAGCCGAUCCAUGCCCGGCAUCUACGCUGCUCUUUGAAAUGCUUUUUUUAUUUUUUAUUCUUUGAAUGCUGUCUUUGUUAGAGCUGCAGAAGUUGCAGUGAAAGAAUAUCUCAGUUUUGCGCUCGAUGAAUGCCUUUGUAUUAAUUCUCUCCUUGCAUAGGUUUGAGCAGUAGGGCUGGUGGGUACAUUAACGACUUGCAGUGGGGCACUCCACGCUCACAGCUCAGUAUUGAAGGCAAAUGUAGAAGCUCAGCCAUUGACUACGUAUUUUUUACACUGGAAGAACUUAAAUUUUUUUGGUCUGUGCUGUAACAGAACUUCCUUUUGAAGCGCUGUCUGCCGUUACUGUUUCUUCCCCAUUCAGCAGAAGUUUUAGUGAUAAUGUAAACACGAGCCUCUUUCAGCUGAAGAUUUUGCUUUCCAUAAAAGAAAGUAUUCCUUUUUCUGCAAAGUGGCCUGGAACAAUCUUCUCUUCCUAUAUUUUUGCCUAUAUCUUAACAUUUGCUUAAGUAUCAAGAAGCUUCUCGGUGCAAGGGAGGAUGCAGGAAUACAUAGAAGGUAACAGGAUUUUUUUAAAGUAGAUUUGUAAAAUAAAAACAAGGAAGGGGGAAGCAGCAUACAGCGCACAGCAGUCAUGGGCUGCAGCGGUUAGGGAGGUGUGUGCCCGUGCUGAGGACGACUGCAGACUGUCAGGGUCAGGACAUGGUCACGUAUGACCUCAGGGGCACAGAGAGGCAGAACCUUUGAUUUGCAAGAGAAUGCGUGCGCUUUGAUUAAUUCAUUUGCACAGCAUUAGAAAGUAAAGAGGGUAACAGCCUGGCUGAAGGCUCCGGUCAUCAACUCAGCAUCUUCCAUGAAACUCCCCCAUCUCUGCCUCCAUUUUUGUGCCCCUUGCAUAUUUCCAGCAGCCUCUCCCUCCAUAUGGUUGACUUUCAUGCACGAGAAAAGGGCAGUUUUGUUGGUAAGUGUGCUGUCACACGACACAACCUGUCAUUAUUUUAAUUCCUGCUUUCAAAUGAAACGUCUGCCAGUCUGUAUGUUAAAGUCGUGUAUUUUCACCACUACAUUAACAAUACCUGAAUUUGACAUACGGCUUUUUCUCUGCAGAGCUCAACGUACUUUUAAGCCCUGAACGAGAUUUUGCUCCUUUUAAAACUCACAGAGCCCAGGUGGAAGUGGCUGUGGCAAGGUUAAACUGUUCGUGUCUUGUCACCCCAUGAUUAUACAGCUCCUCUCAUCUCUGUGUGCCCAGAAUCAUAGAGUCACAGAAUGGCUUGGGUUGGAAGGGGCCUCAAGGAACGUCCAGUUCCAGCCCCCUGCCAUGGGCAGGGUUACCAACCACUAAGUUAGGCACUACAGUCUAUUCAGUGCUCUGUGCUCGAUCUCCUACUGCUCCCCAGAACUUUCCCCAUUCCAACACAGGGGAAGGCUCGUGGCCUCCUUCCGCAGUUCCUUACCACACGUGGCCGUGGAGCAUCCUGCAUGCAUACUUUGUCUCUUAGGUCCAGUGAGGGGUAGGACAGCUUUAAUUGUCCUGAUCUUAAAAGUUUGGAGGCAGGGACAGAAUUAUGGCCCUAACCUGAACUUCCAUUCCAAACCACGAUCCAUCUCCUACCUUGGCACAGAUUUAACAUCAGCUGUAUGGUGUAACUCAAAAUCAUCUGCACUCAGGUGGUGGGGAGAAAGAGACAGCAAUGAUAUUUUUCAAUGUGCUAAUCGAUCCAGUUUGCUUAAGCUUAAGAAAUUAGGCAGAGGCACUUGAUUUCUUGAUUUCAUUCAUUUACAGGCCGGCUUUACCUGCACUGCUGAGCUACUGUGACAGUAUGGCUUAUGUGACUUGUGUCGAGCAGGAAGCUUUCAAAGCCACGUGCCAAAGCUUCCCUCAGCCGGGACUUCCCAGCUCCUCCUGAAGCGGAGGGGGCUCUGGAGGCGAGGAACCGCCGGCGGUGGUUGUGAGCAUUUGGGACUGAUGCUCCGCGGUCCCUCCGCGGUCCCAACGCCGUUUUCCAGGAGCGCACUUGGCGGCUGAGCUCGGGGACCGCGAAACGGAGAGGAGCGUCAACGCCUGGACGGUUUUCAAAGUGCUUUAAAAAUCAUAUAUUAAAUAAAUAAAUAAAUAAAUAAAAAAUAAAAAUCUCCCUUUGAUGUGAUGGAAAAAAUCGCGGUGUAACGUCGGGCAACGCAGGGAUGCGCGGGGGGGAAUAGGAAGAGAAUAGAGGAGGGAAUAG
ensembl:lncRNA